rnacentral:tRNA from 1 species
GCUCCGGUGGUGCAAUUGGUCAGCAUGUGGUACUUAUAAGACAGUACGUUGUAGAGCAAUGCUGAGAUUGUGAGUUCAAGCCUCACCUGGAGCA